rnacentral:tRNA from 1 species
AGUAAAAUGCCUGAUUUAAAGGAUAUCGUGAUAGGAUGAAUAAUGUAAAUUUUUUUACUUUUACUA